GCUGGAGUAGCUCAGUAAGUAGAGCAUGUGACUUUCAAUCUCAGGGUUGUGGGUUCGAGCCCCAACAUGGGGCA